GCAGUAGUUGUCCAGUGGUUAAGAUGCGGCCCUGCCACGGCCGAGACCCGGGUUCGACUCCCGGCUACUGCA
rnacentral:tRNA from 1 species